ACUCACUCCACUUGUCGACACAUACCAAGAGUAUUUCCUUGCGGCUCAUGACAAUCUCCCACCGUUUAUCUUGGAAGGUGGAACCGUCGCCUUCAAGUUACAUCACCAGCAGCCCCAUUUCUUUGCUACGGACCGCCAUCAACCGCACUUAGUUCUGUGUGGGCGUGCGAACUGGUCUGCAAUGCGAACGAAGAAGUUCUAGUCUGCCAGACACAAUUAUUUGGAGGUGUGACACCGCGUGGAAGCGGAACGUCUCUGCCAGUGCUUCACAUGUUCUCCUACUGACCAUGUACUGUAAACCGUGAAAGUAUUUGCCAUGGUCUAAUUUCUGCGAAAUUCGUGACCGCGUGGAAAU